rnacentral:rRNA from 1 species
GCCCAGCCAUAAACACAAGUAGUAACCUUACACCUACUACUCGCCCGGGGACUACGAGCAUAAGCUUAAAACCCAAAGGACUUGGCGGUGCUUUAGAUCCACCUAGAGGAGCCUGUUCUAGAACCGAUAACCCCCGUUCAACCUCACCUUUUCUUGUUUACCCCGCCUAUAUACCGCCGUCGUCAGCCUACCCUAUGAAGAACACAUAGUAAGCAAAAUUGGCAGAGCCCAAAACGUCAGGUCGAGGUGUAGCGUAUGAAAAGGGAAGAAAUGGGCUACAUUCACUGAACCAGUACACACGGACGAUGCUUUGAAACCAAACAUCUGAAGGAGGAUUUAGCAGUAAGGAGGGAAUUAGAGCGCUCCCCUGAAACCGGCCCUGAAGCGCGC